rnacentral:lncRNA from 1 species
CACAGCCGGUCCCAAGCCCGGAAAAGGAGGAGGGUUUGAGUCAACGAUGGGAUCUCAAUGUUUUUUAAUUAUCUCUGCAUUUGUUUCUGCUUGUUAUUAGGUUACCUUUACUCUCAACUCUUUCUGAUUGCGCGCAUCUUUUCUGUGUUGCUGGUUCAACUUUUGGAAUAUUAAUUGCAUUGAGUGUUGAAGGCUUUAUUCUUGUAGUUGGGUAUAGAAAGGAGUCUACGAGCUGCUGUCUUUGGAGAAUUGAAUGAUCUAGGGCUAACAUAAUAAAUCUCGAUUUCCAUUCCUUGACUCUACUUGUGGAUUUCACCUUAUUUUUGGCAGUUAGAUGUAACUGGUUCUAGACGAGCUGUGUUGGCUGGCCAUACAACUUUUGCAGUGGAAUGCAAAAUGAACUCUUCUUCAUUUGCCAGGUUGCACGAACCAUUUUAGGUGUGCUGUCUCUUAAGAGUAAGUUUUACUUGUCCUAUUAUUUAUCCAUAAUCUGUUUCUUGCUUUGAAAUAAGUGACUUAUUACUUUUAAUUUAAACUAUGUGCUCACUGGUAUGGGGAAUGAGAACUUCUAACCAUCCAUGUUCAUGAUAUACACGGAAGUCAAAACUGUGAGAUGCCACAUUGUGAAUGUAUUAAUUUCAAAGGGCGUUAUAUAUUAAAUGGAAAAGUGUUCUUGGUUGUUCUGCAUGUUACACUGUAUUCAAAAGUUGCUUUAUUGUGUCAAUUUAUGUUUUUAUCUAAUAAUAGGCUCUUGUAAUUUUCGUCGACUCACUUUGGCAUACAGUCAUAGAAUUCAUUAAUUUACUUGUACAGUCCAAAUUUUACUAGAAUCAAUAAUUAUGAUUAACAUGGCAAAGAUUGCAUAAAUAUAUUUUUAAGACUUCACUGCUUUCCCAAAUUUACUAGAAAUGCAGGAGGGAAGUAAUGAUGGUCAAGAAAAGCUAUCAUUCUAUAUUUUCUUGUUUGCAAGUUCCAUAACUGAAAGGCUUCUCAGAGCUGGACCCAGCUGCAACCGCAUUAGAGAUUCUUCAGGUAAUGGGUCCUCGGGAAGUAGAGAUGACAGAAAAGAGACCGCAUCUGAGGAGGCUUAGAAGGGUAUCCAGGGAAGCAGCCUUGAACAAUUGUGCAGAAUACUGGUUUUGUAUAAUUCAAGGAGAAUGGCGUUUUGGUGUGGAAUUGGAAUGUGGUGAGAUACUUUUGUUCUUUCUUUUGAACUCGAUAAAUGUGUAGGGUAUAGAUCAAAUCUAUAAAUUGAGCAUAGUUGAGAGGAUGAAGAGCUUUAUUCUUCUUUCAUGUAUGAGAUAAUCUUUGGAUAUAUCUAUAAAUCUCACUCUCAGAACUCUGGCAUCGUGUGCUUGUACAUUUUGUAGUGCUGGAAUUCUGAAUUUUGUAUCUGCUUUCCACUUCAAUCAGAAUUUGGACAACUGGG